GGGGCCUACGGGGGGCAGCAGUGGGGAAUAUUGGGCAAUGGGCGCAAGGCUGACGCAGCAACGCCGCGUGAAGGAAGAAGGCUUUCGGGUUGUAAACUUCUUUUAUGAGGGACGAAAGAAAUGACGGUACCUCAUGAAUAAGCCACGGCUAACUACGUGCCAGCAGCCGCGGUAAUACGUAGGUGGCAAGCGUUAUCCGGAUUUACUGGGUGUAUAGGGCGUGUAGGCGGGUAUG
rnacentral:rRNA from 1 species